rnacentral:rRNA from 1 species
UACGUAGGGUGCGAACGUUAAUCUGAAUUACUGGGCGUAAAGCGUGCGCAGGCGGUUAUGUAAGACAGAGGUGAAAUCCCCGGGCUCAACCUUGGAACUGCCUUUGUGACUGCAUGAAUAGAGUACGGCAGAGGGGGAUGGAAUUCCGCGUGUAGCAGUGAAAUGCGUAGAUAUGGGGAGGAACACCGAUGGCGAAGGCAAUCCCCUGGGCCUGUACUGACGCUCAUGCACGAAAGCGUGGGGAGCAAACAGG